AGAGUUUGAUCAUGGCUCAGGACGAACGCUGGCGGCGCGCUUAACACAUGCAAGUCGAGCGAGAACCAGUCCUUCGGGGCUGGGGACAGCGGCGAACGGGUGAGUAACACGUGAGUAAUCCACCCCCGACACUGGGAUAGCCCGGGGAAACCCGGAUUAAUACCGGAUAGCCACUUCGGUUCUCGGACCGAAAUGAAAAGGUAGCUUCGGCCUCCGGUUGGGGACGAGCUCGCGGCGGAUUAGCUUGUUGGCGGGGUAAAGGCCCACCAAGGCGACGAUCCGUAGCUGGUCUGAGAGGACGAUCAGCCACACUGGGACUGAGACACGGCCCAGACUCCUACGGGAGGCAGCAGUGGGGAAUCUUGUGCAAUGGGCGAAAGCCUGACACAGCGACGCCGCGUGAGGGAAGAAGGCCUUCGGGUUGUAAACCUCUUUCAGGAGGGACGAAGCUACUCGGGUGAACAGCCCAGAGGGUGACGGUACCUCCAGAAGAAGCCCCGGCUAACUACGUGCCAGCAGCCGCGGUAAUAC
rnacentral:rRNA from 1 species